rnacentral:rRNA from 1 species
UACGUAGGGUGCAAGCGUUGUCCGGAAUUAUUGGGCGUAAAGAGCUCGUAGGCGGUUUGUCGCGUCGAAUGUGAAAACCCGGGGCUCAACCCCGGGCCUGCAUUCGAUACGGGCAGACUAGAGUUCGGUAGGGGAGUCUGGAAUUCCUGGUGUAGCGGUGAAAUGCGCAGAUAUCAGGAGGAACACCGGUGGCGAAGGCGGGAUCCUGGGCCAGUACUGACGCUGAGGAGCGAAAGCGUGGGGAGCAAACAGG